rnacentral:lncRNA from 1 species
UUUUUUUUUUUUUUCUUUUUAGGGCUGAGCCUGAGCAUAUAGUUGUUCCCAGGCUAGGGGUUGAAUCGGAGCUGCAGCUGCUGGCCUACGCCACAGCCACAGCAACAACAGAUCUGAGCCUCAUUUGUGACUUAAACUGCAGUUUGCAGCAACUGAGCAAGGCCAGGGAUCAAACUGUCAUCCUCACAGAGACUAUGUCGGGUUCUUAACCUGCUGAGCCACAAAGGGAAUUCCUCAACGUGCUUGACUUUAAAAUGUUCCUCUCGGAGAUCCCAUGUGGCACAUUGGGUUGAGAAUCUGGCAUUGACAGUGCAGUGACUCAGCUUGCUGCUGUGGCUUGAGUUCCAUUCCUGGCUUGGGAACUUCCAUGUGCCAUGGGCUUGGCCAAAAAAGAAAUAGUCUCUUUUUAUUGACACAGGAGCAUACCUAGUCUUGUAAUUCUCAAACAAUAAUUUUUCAUCCCAAAUAUGCUUAUGUCAGUGACCAAAAUAUUACCCUUUGUGCAAAAAAGUUAAACGGCCUAAAAUAAUCUCCUUUUUCUCUUCUCUCUCUCUCUCUCUUUUUUUUUUGCAUUUUAGGGCCACACUCACGGCAUAUGGAAGUUCCCAGGCAGCUAGGGGUCUAAUCAGAGCUACAGCUAUGGGCCUAUACCACAUCCACAGCAAUGUGGGAUCCGAGCCGUGUCUGCAACCUACACCACAGCUCAUGGCAAUGCCAGAUCCUCAACCCACUGAGUGAGGCCAGGGAUGGAACCCCAAACCUCAUGGUUGCUAGUUGGAUUCGUUUCUGUUGUGCCACGAUGGGAACUCCUUUCCUCUCUUCUUAAGAAUGAGGCUUUCAGGUGUUCCCCUUGUGACUCAGCAGGUUACAAAUCUGACUAGUAUCCAUGAGGAUGGUGUUGCUGUAAGCUGUGGUGUAGGUUGCAGACACAGCUGGGAUCUGGCAUUGCUGUGACUGUGGCAAAGGCUGGCAGCUGCAGCUAAGAUUUGACCCCUAGCCUGGGAACUUCCUUCCAUACGCUGUGAGUGCAGCCCUAAAAAGCAAAAAAAAAAAAAAAAAAAAAAUUUCAGUUUUUCUCCUAAAAGAGUUAUCUUUCAUGUACACUUACAAUGUGUACAUUUCAUUGUUAGGGGAAAAAAGUAAUUUAUGUCCCUAAAUGUAUCUUUAUAUGAGCAGCAUCUACUCAUCCAUUUGACACUUAUUCAUCCAACACCUAGCAGGUGAAGUAAAUCCAGUAGUGUUCCUAAAUCAAGAUUUUUAACUUGUGGGUUUUUUGGAGGUUUGUUUGUUUGUUUGUUUGCUUCUGCUUUUGCUUUUUAGGGCUGCAGGUGUGGUAUUUGGAAGUUCCCAGGCUAGGGGCUGAAUCAGAGCUACAGCUGCCAGCCUACGCUACAGCUGCAGCAACAUCAGGUCAGAGCCACGUCUGCAACCUACAUUGCAGCUCACAGCAACACCUGAUCCGCAACCCACUGAUCGAAGCCAGGGAUCAAACCUGCAUCCUCAUGUAUACUUGUUGGAUUCAUUUCAGCUGUGCCACAAUGGGAACGCCAAGAACUUUUGUAAAAAAUUCUGAGCUCCUACCUCAGAAAUUUUGAACCAUUACGGCUAAGGUGACAUAAGGGAUUCCAUAUAUAGAUCGAUCGAUCGAUCGAUCUAUCUAUCUAUCUAUCUAUCUAUUUAAAGCUCUCCGGGGAAUUCUAAUCCACUAAUACUUUUAAGAGCUUGAUUCUUGAAUAUCAUAGACUAGUAAAACAAAAUUUCAAAAAAUGGAGUAGCAUUUAAAACUACCAGUGUUUUAGUUUUCCAACUAAUACAUUAAACUGACACAAAUGUGUAUUAUUAUGAUUCUUUUGUUUUCUAGUAGAGUUCAUGGAGCUGCUCUUUUGGGGUGGAGAGUUUUGUUGUUGUUGCUACUGCUGUUUGUCAUUGAUAAGAAGCCCCUGGGGAAGGGGAGAACCUGAUAACCUAACAGAAUUUUUAGAUUUGUAAGAUGCGUAUUAUCCUCAUUUUGCCAAUGAGGAAACCAAGGCUCAGAGAGGUUAAAUAACUUACCCGCAAAUGAAACCAAUAUCCAGCAGAGAAGGAAACUGAGUCUUGGUUUGUGUAACUCAAGAGACUGAAGGUCUUCCCACUCACAUCUUUUUAACUUAACUCCCUACCAGCUAUCAUAAAACAUUAGUCUACUAAGUCCUUCAGUGGAUACAUGGACAAUGUAUCAAUGGCUGGCCAUUCUUUUUGCUUGCAUUUUAAUGGAGCUUUGUGAUAUUCUGUAAAAUCAUACUUCUAUUAAUAAAUAGAAAAGCCAAAAUGUGACUCAAGAGGAAUUAGAAAAUUUCCUAGCUGGCCCAUAUUCUUCCUUUGCUUAGAAGGCUUCUCUGUUCCCUCUGCCACUGAUGUUGAACAGGUGGAGUAACUUCUCAGAGGUACACUCUGCAAACAACAGGUUUAACUUUACAGGAUUUUCACCUUUGCCCCAUGAGUAGGUAAGUCAGAUUUAAAUAUUUUAUAAAGCCUUUCUUAUACCUCCUACUGGUCUAAAGUUUUCAAAACAAGUCAAAAAGACAAAAAUAGUACAGGGCACCCAAAUUCAGUAAUGCCAGAGCAGGGUCUAGACCUAAGAAAGAAUCUGGCCCUAGAGUAGUCACGUAAACAUCUUUUGUUUUCAAAGAUAAUAUUGAUUUAACUGAUUACCAUCUGGGUAUGUAGGUGUGGCUGAAAUUCAGUGCUUGAAAAAUAAUUUUAAACACACUACACAUAUGCUACAUUUUGUUUUGUUGCUAAACUGGUUACAGGCUUGAAGCAAACGAGUUCUGUAAGGUUUAAAACUUACACAAUCUUGGGUGUCCUCGUAAAGACAAACGUUAAGAUUUUGUAGUGUACUGCUGGCCCCUCGAAGGAGACUGGGGCCAAAGAGAGGUCCUGUAGUUUGAUUAGCUUCAUUAGCUCUCCAGAAAACCUGUCUCUGGCUGCACAUCACUUUCGGAGAAGUUAUUGCCUGUGGCCCUGUCUGUUUAUCUUCGUUCAUUUGUUGUUGUCCCUGAGUCUUCCUUUGAAAGGAGUCAUCUCAUCCCUUGUACUUGGGCUGUUCUGUCUCUAUGCCAUGGCUAUUUUGUCAGCUGCCCAUAAUGAUGCCACAUUUUUUUUCUUUUUUUAGUGUUCUUGUUUGGUUCUUUGAGUGAUUUCCUCUGCCUUCAGUGAAGAAAAUAUAUAAUGAUGAUAACAACCUCAGUGCUGGGAAGUGCUUGCACUAAAAAUUCUUAUUGUUGGUGAUUUCUUCAUGGUGCUUGUUUUCAGAAAGGCGGAUGUGAAAUUACUCAGCUUUAGAAGUCCCAAAUCAAAGUUUGAAUAUAUUUGGGUUAUGUUCCUACCCUGUACAAAAGUCCUUUCUGUAAUAGCCAUAAUGGAAGGAAGGAUGCAGGAGCUCACAUUUUUAUGAUUAGAAAUUUUGUCUUUUUGUCUUUUUUUUUUUGGUCUUUUUGCCUUUUUGCCUUUUCAAAAGCCACUCCCACGGCAUAUGGAGGUUCCCAGGCUAGGGGUCGAAUCCGAGCUGUAGCUGCUGGCCUACCCCAGAGCCACAGCAACGCGGGAUCCGAGCCUCAUCUGCAACCUACACCACAGCCCACGGCAAUGCCAGAUCCUUAACCCACUGAGCAAGGCCAGGGAUAAAACCCACAACCUCAUGGUUCCUAGUCAGAUUCGUUAACCACUGAGCCACAAGGGAACUCCAAUCAACUAUACUUUAAUAAAAAAAAAAAAAAUAGGCUUUCCCACUGUAGCUUAGCAGGUUAAGAACUGGACAGUGUCUAUGAGGAUAAGGGUUCAAUCCCUGGCCUCCAUCAGUAGGUUAAAGAUCCAGCAUUGCUGCAAGCUGUGGAGUAGGUCACAGAUGUGGCUCGAAUAUGGGGUUGCUGGGGUUUUGACAUAGACCUCAGCUGUCUCCAAAUUGACCCCUAGCCCAGGAACUUUCAUAUGCCACAGCUAGGCCCUAAAAAAAAAAAAAAAAAAAUCAUUUGGCGGGUAUUUAUUUAGAACCUUCUGCAUGCUAUUUCCUUUCCUUGGGAUAUAAACUGACAUAAGGUAUGCUUCUUGUUCUCAAUUUGCUUAAUAAAUAAAGGCUAUUUGUUCCACGGCAGAAACUGUGAUGAUAACAGGGAAAACUUCCCAAAGAAGAUGCUUUAACUGAGUUAAAAAAGGUAAGAGUCACCUGGACAAAGAAGACAGCUGUGGCAUUAGUCUGGGCAUAGACAGGGAAGCAUGAAAUGUCAUGACACCACAUGGGAGCAACAGAGAGAAGCAGGUUUGUGAGAAAUAAGGGUGCUUACUGAAGAUUUUGAUCUUUAUCUUGACAGAUAUGAGGAACCACUAAAUGAUGGUCAGAUUUGCAUUUUAGGAAGAUCACUGUCAGCAGGAAGACAGAUUGGGGAUUCAUCGGACCAGGAGACUAUUGAAAUCACCCAGAGAAGACACAACGAAGGCAGAAGAAGUAGAAAUGCAGAGGAGAGCAACACAGGGGUCAGAAAGUGCCCCAUUCAGUGACUUGUGGGACGCAGAAGCAGUGCACACUGGGGAAAAGGCAGGGCCUAAUAGUAGAUAGCAAGUGGUUAGAGCGGGGACUUUAGACUCAGAUGAAUUUUAAGAUUCAAAUCCCUGCUCUACAGUUUCUGGUUGUAUGACCUUAAAUGGUUUCAUUUCAUCAAAGCUCAGAAUUCUCUUUGCAAAAUAGAAUAAUAUCAUCUUUUUAGCAAGGAUCUGACAAGGACUAAAUGGAAUAAUGGAUAAAGUGCUUACGUGUUUAGCCCAAUGCAUAGCACAUAAUAAGUGCUCCGUACAAGACAGUAGGUAAUUAUGGAUGGCUGUUUAUGGUGGUGGUAAUCUUGCUAGCGCAAUUCAGCAAAAUAGAGAAUUCAGGAGGAGGAGUGAGUUUAGGGGAAGAGAUAAUGAUAUUACUAUAGUUGUUCAUAUUCAUAUAGUGCUUUUCAAUUUUCCAAUGUCUUUUGUAUCCAUUAUCUCAUUUCAUGUUCAAAAGAACCUUGCAAGUUUCAUUUAUUUCAUUUCAAGGACUCCAUCCUAGGAAAAUAAUCCAAAAUGAAAAUAGG